UACGUAGGGUGCGAGCGUUGUCCGGAAUUAUUGGGCGUAAAGAGCUCGUAGGCGGCUUGUCGCGUCGGAUGUGAAAGCCCGGGGCUUAACUCCGGGUCUGCAUUCGAUACGGGCAGGCUAGAGUUCGGUAGGGGAGAUCGGAAUUCCCGGUGUAGCGGUGAAAUGCGCAGAUAUCGGGAGGAACACCGGUGGCGAAGGCGGUUCUCUGGGCCUGUGCUGACGCUGAGGAGCGAAAGCGUGGGGAGCGAACAGG
rnacentral:rRNA from 1 species